rnacentral:rRNA from 1 species
CCCAGCCUACGGGGGGCAGCAGUGGGGGAUAUUGCACAAUGGGGGGAACCCUGAUGCAGCGACGCCGCGUGGGUGAAGAAGUCAUUCGUGACGUAAAGCCCUAUCAGCAGGGAAGAAAAUGACGGUACCUGACUAAGAAGCCCCGGCUAACUACGUGCCAGCAGCCGCGGUAAUACGUAGGGGGCAAGCGUUAUCCGGAAUUACUGGGUGUAAAGGGAGCGCAGACGGCAGUGCAAGUCCGGAGUGAAAGCCCACGGCCCAACCGUGGGACUGCUCUGGAAACUGUGCGGCUUGAGUGCGGGAGG